GAUGAACGCUAGCGGCAGGCUUAACACAUGCAAGUCGAGGGGUAUUGGUUUUCGGACCAAGAGACCGGCGCACGGGUGCGUAACGCGUAUGCAAUCUACCUUUUGCAGAGGGAUAGCCCCAGAGAAAUUUGGAUUAAUACCUCAUAGUAUAGUACUUUGGCAUCAAGGAACUAUUAAAGUCACAACGGCAAAGAUGAGCAUGCGUCCCAUUAGCUAGUUGGUAAGGUAACGGCUUACCAAGGCUACGAUGGGUAGGGGUUCUGAGAGGGAGAUCCCCCACACUGGUACUGAGACACGGACCAGACUCCUACGGGAGGCAGCAGUGAGGAAUAUUGGACAAUGGGCGCAAGCCUGAUCCAGCCAUGCCGCGUGCAGGAUGACGGUCCUAUGGAUUGUAAACUGCUUUUAUACAGGAAGAAACACUACUUCGUGAAGUAGCUUGACGGUACUGUAAGAAUAAGGAUCGGCUAACUCCGUGCCAGCAGCCG
rnacentral:rRNA from 1 species